UGUAGGUGGGACCAGGCUUCCUGUCUGCCCAUCCCCAGAAGGCAAAGCCUUUAGGUCCCCCCUCUGCUGACUCAGGCACAAAAGGGUUUUCUUUCUUAGUUUUGGAAUCUGAGUGGAAGGGCACAUGCUGUGAAUCAUAUUCUCCUUCUAGUCUCUCGGUUGCUCACGUGGGAGUAAGUAGGAGCUGUGGGACCUUGUCCUUAAGCCAUUAAAGAUGUGCAGAGAACCUCCUGGAGAAACAGAGGCCAUGGGUCCUGACGCCUGAGCCAGCAACUACUCUGAGCACACUGUGAAGGGCGGCUGUGAAUUUUUCUUCUCUCUCAAACAACGAUGCAAUCAUUGGGAUCACUUGUCCUCCUGGGAUGGGUUUGUGUGAGACUGAUGUCUUCCAAAAAACACAGCCCCAAGGGAGUCGAGACGAUGUACCAGGUAGAAUAAGGCACAGGGGAGCCAUUUGACGAAUCAGACAACAGCAGCCGGCCUGCCUGCCAGGUUCCUGCUGGGCACCAUUUCCAGCCCGUGGGGUGAGCACUGAGGAGGCAGCAGGACGCUGAGCUGGCUGCCAACCCGUCUGCUGCUCCACCCACUCUGGUUCUGACUCAGAUGGCACCAGUGGCUCCAGCCCAGGGGACGCCCUGCUCUUGGGCCUCACCAGGUAGGUCCAGACCAGCCCUGGCUCUCAUGUCACUUCAGCAACACACCUGUCAUUGCACCUGUCACCGCACCCAUCACCACAUCCAUCCCAGGGUUUGACCUGCGUUCCUGCAGAGUGGAGCAGGUGGGCGCCUGUGUCCCUGCUCAUGUACGUGCCCUCGGGGUCAGGAUCUCAGCCCAGAAACAGCCUUCCUGAGACACACGCAGGCCUUCCCAGCUGUCCCAGGCGCUGUCCAUGUCAGAACACCCAGGCUGCAGGCCUCUGCCCCUACGGCCCUUGGUUCAUUCUUCCAGUUUCUGCAGCUGAGCUCUCCAGGGGCCUGGGGGAGCCACCUGGGGCUACACAGUUCCUCAGAUCACACCUGCUCCACGGCAGAGCUCCGGAAGGAGCCAAGGUGCAGAAUGACAGCAUGGUCCAGCCCUGGUCACAAGUCUCCCUCCACAGCCCGUUCCUCACGCUGCUUAAAGUGGAAUUUCCAGAUGAGUGCCACACCCAGGCGACAUCCAGGUGGGGCCAGCGCUGCUCAGUUCCAGAGCAAGGAGGUGGUGACCUUCCUGCACCGUCACCAGCUCCUGGGCUUCCCGGCAGCGGGAGGGAGACAGGGGGCCCACGGCUUGCAGCUGAACCUCCAGAAUUCCAGAAGCCCCAGUGCCAGCUCCAGGGAGAAGCCAGACAGCCUCUAGCUCAGUGACCCUUGAGGCCUUGGGACCCGAUAAGCCCCAGCCCCCCAUAGACUGCGGCCUCCAUGCCAGGUACAGGUGCUUCGGACCCUGCCAAGGAGCUACCUGGAAACGGUGGUCGGGGGCCCCGCCCCUC